rnacentral:rRNA from 1 species
UACGUAGGGUGCAAGCGUUAUCCAGAUUUACUGGGCGUAAAGCGCGCGCAGGCGGAUGAUUAAGUCAAUUGUGAAAGCCCCCGGCUCAACUGGGGAGGGUCGAUUGAAACUGGUCGUCUGGAGGGCAACAGAGGAGUGUAGAAUUGCGGGUGUAGUGGUGAAAUGCGUAGAUAUCCGCAGGAAUACCGAUGGCGAAGGCAGCACUCUGGGUUGUACCUGACGCUGAGGCGCGAAGGCUAGGGGAGCGAACAGG